UACAGAGGGUGCGAGCGUUAAUCGGAAUUACCGGGCGUAAAGCGCGCGUAGGCGGCUUUGCAAGUCGGGUGUGAAAUCCCCAGGCUUAACCUGGGAACUGCAUUCGAGACUGCAUUGCUAGAGUAUGGGAGAGGGAAGUGGAAUUUCCGGUGUAGCGGUGAAAUGCGUAGAUAUCGGAAGGAACAUCAGUGGCGAAAGCGACUUCCUGGACCAAUACUGACGCUCAUGUGCGAAAGCGUGGGGAGCAAACAGG
rnacentral:rRNA from 1 species